rnacentral:rRNA from 1 species
CUACGGGGGGCUCCAGUGGGGAAUAUUGCACAAUGGACGAAAGUCUGAUGCAGCAACGCCGCGUGGAGGAUGACACAUUUCGGUGCGUAAACUCCUUUUAUAUGAGAAGAUAAUGACGGUAUCAUAUGAAUAAGCACCGGCUAACUCCGUGCCAGCAGCCGCGGUAAUACGGGGGGUGCAAGCGUUACUCGGAAUCACUGGGCGUAAAGAGCAUGUAGGUGGAUUAAUAAGUUGGAAGUGAAAUCCUAUAGCUUAACUAUAGAACUGCUUCCAAAACUGUUGAUCUAGAAUGUGGGAGAGGUAGAUGGAAUUUCUGGUGUAGGGGUAAAAUCCGUAGAGAUCAGAAGGAGUACCGAUUGCGAAGGCGAUCUACUGGAACACUAUUGACACUCAGAUGCGAAAGCGUGGGGAGCAAACAGGAUUAGAUACCCGCGUAGUC